CGGACCGGCGCACGGGUGAGUAACACGUAUGUAACCUGCCCUAUGCAGGGGGAUAACCCGGAGAAAUCCGGACUAAUACCGCGUGGUACAUCUGUGGGGCAUCCCACGGGUGUUAAAAGGAAGCGAUUCCGGCGGAGGAUGGGCAUGCGGCGCAUUAGCUAGUUGGCGGGGUAACGGCCCACCAAGGCGACGAUGCGUAGGGGUUCUGAGAGGAAGGUCCCCCACACUGGUACUGAGACACGGACCAGACUCCUACGGAAGGCAGCAG
rnacentral:rRNA from 1 species